rnacentral:rRNA from 1 species
UACGUAGGGUGCAAGCGUUAAUCGGAAUUACUGGGCGUAAAGCGUGCGCAGGCGGUGAUGUAAGACAGAUGUGAAAUCCCCCGGGCUCAACCUGGGAACUGCAUUUGUGACUGCAUCGCUGGAGUACGGCAGAGGGGGAUGGAAUUCCGCGUGUAGCAGUGAAAUGCGUAGAUAUGCGGAGGAACACCGAUGGCGAAGGCAAUCCCCUGGGCCUGUACUGACGCUCAUGCACGAAAGCGUGGGGAGCAAACAGG